UAGGGAAUCUUCGGCAAUGGGGGGAACCCUGACCGAGCAACGCCGCGUGAGUGAAGAAGGUUUUCGGAUCGUAAAGCUCUGUUGUUAAGGAAGAACGAGUGUGAGAAUGGAAAGUUCAUACUGUGACGGUACUUAACCAGAAAGGGACGGCUAACUACGUGCCAGCAGCCGCGGUAAUACGUAGGUCCCGAGCGUUGUCCGGAUUUAUUGGGCGUAAAGCGAGCGCAGGCGGUUAGAUAAGUCUGAAGUUAAAGGCAGUGGCUCAACCAUUGUAGGCUUUGGAAACUGUUUAACUUGAGUGCAGAAGGGGAGAGUGGAAUUCCAUGUGUAGCGGUGAAAUGCGUAGAUAUAUGGAGGAACACCGGUGGCGAAAGCGGCUCUCUGGUCUGUAACUGACGCUGAGGCUCGAAAGCGUGGGGAGCGAACAG
rnacentral:rRNA from 1 species